AUUCUUCACAAGCUCCCUGGAGGAUGCUGACGGUCCAGGAACGCUGCUCCCGGACCACCUUCCCAAAAGACCAAAGCUCAGCUUCGAGAAACAAUGAAAAGGAACAUCUAUCCAGCUCCCUGGUAGUCAAAGAGGAGGAGGCUCAGAGUGGUUAUGGCACCUGCCAAAGGUCACACAGCUGGUACAUCUGGAGCUCUGCCCCUGGGAGCCAAGCAUGCCAAGCUUUAUUAGAGACCUGAGCUCUUGGUAUUUCACUGGGCUUGAGGGAAAGGGCCUCCUUGCCUCCUAAGUGGGAGUGGGAGUGUAGCCAUGGUGGGAGGUAGGAGGGCGCCUCACUUUAUAAAUUCUUAUUCUCAUGGCAUCCUGAGAGGACUUCCCUCAACAUUACACAGCUAAUAUAAGUUAGUGGAAGCUUUGGGGGCUCAGCAACAUGGAGCUCUUCUGUUUUGGGGUGGUUGCCCC
rnacentral:lncRNA from 1 species